rnacentral:misc_RNA from 1 species
GAUGAAGAAACGUAGUGAAAUGCGAUAAGUAAUGUGAAUUGCAGAAUUCAGUGAAUCAUCGAAUCUUUGAACGCACAUUGCGCCCGCCAGUAUUCUGGCGGGCAUGCCUGUCUGAGCGUCAUUUCAACCCUCAUGCCCCUAGGGCGUGGUGUUGGGGAUCGGCCAAAGCCCGCGAGGGACGGCCGGCCCCUAAAUCUAGUGGCGGACCCGUCGUGGCCUCCUCUGCGAAGUAGUGAUAUUCCGCAUCGGAGAGCGACGAGCCCCUGCCGUUAAACCCCCAACUUUCCAAGGUUGACCUCAGAUCAGGUAGGAAUACCCGCUGAACUUAAGCAUAUCAAUAAGCGGAGGA